rnacentral:rRNA from 1 species
UACGGAGGGAGCAAGCGUUACUCGGAAUUAUUGGGCGUAAAGGGCGCGUAGGCGAUCUGACAAGUCUGGUGUGAAAGCCCACAUGUUAACUGUGGAAGUGCAUUAGAAACUGUUGGAUUUGAGUUCAGGAGAGGAAGGCAGAAUUCCCGGUGUAGCGGUGAAAUGCGUAGAGAUCGGGAGGAAUACCAGUGGCGAAGGCGGCCUUCUGGACUGACACUGACGCUGAGGCGCGAAAGCCAGGGAGCAAACGGG